UUUCAGGAGAGAUUUGGGCCUGGCCUGUUGAACCUUAUCCUUCAACCUUCUGAUUGAUCCAUCAUAAGUGUGCCAGUUUGUGAUGGGCUCUAAAAGUUUAGAUGCAAUAUAUUCUAUAUACCAGUGUUUUCCAAACUGUGGGAUAUAUCCCACUAAGAGGUACGCAAGAAUAAUUUUUGAGACAAACCAACAAAUAAAUAAAUUCAAAUUGAUGUCGGAAAAAAAGAAUCAUCAAAAGGGUUAUAAAUACAGUACAAAUAUUCGUGUACCCAGAAACUUUUGUUGAAGCGCUUUUAAAGACAAAAUAUUGAUCUCAUUUAGUGAUUGAAAAAGAAUUGCG
rnacentral:lncRNA from 1 species